CCGGACCGAAUCGUGGCAGGCCACAUUGGAUAGUCUGGGACUAACCUCCCUACUUUUCUAAGCGGUGCUUACGACGAGCUACCACAUCCAGAAACCAAGAAAUUUCUGUGAACCCGGCGCGGCGAGCAUACCCCGGCCGAAGCCGCGUCACACCAUGAAACACCGACGACAUACAGUGAAUUUUUCCUGGCAGUGCAAUGCACUGGUUCAAAUUCUAGUCUGGUCCUGAUCGUUUCCUGUUCUGGUCCAUGCCUACAGUUGACCACAAGCCCCAUGCUCGCAGUGUUCAUCCAUAACAAGAAUUUUCCUACAUACUUUUCCCCAUUAUCUAUAUAUGUACAUACAUAAUGCGCCAUACAUAGAAAAAGUUAAAGUGAACUCAGAAUGUUA